CUACGGGGCGCAGCAGUGGGGAAUAUUGCACAAUGGAGGAAACUCUGAUGCAGCAACGCCGCGUGGAGGAUGACACUUUUCGGAGCGUAAACUCCUUUUAUAUAGGAAGAAGAUGACGGCACUAUAUGAAUAAGCGCCGGCUAACUCCGUGCCAGCAGCCGCGGUAAUACGGAGGGCGCAAGCGUUACUCGGAAUCACUGGGCGUAAAGAGCGUGUAGACGGAUUAAAAAGUCAGAAGUGAAAUCCUAUAGCUUAACUAUAGAACUGCUUCUGAAACUCUUAAUCUAGAAUAUGGGAGAGGUAGAUGGAAUUUCUGGUGUAGGGGUAAAAUCCGUAGAGAUCAGAAGGAAUACCGAUUGCGAAGGCGAUCUACUAGAACAUUAUUGACGCUGAGACGCGAAAGCGUGGGGAGCAAACAGGAUUAGAUACCCCCGUAGUC
rnacentral:rRNA from 1 species